CUUUAGYUGCACUAAGAGCUGUGUGGCUGUGCUGCAGCCACGCUGUGGCCCUUAGCCCCCCGCCAGCCUGACUUCAAUUUAGCACCUUCCAUCUCUGACCAGAGCCACGCUGAACAGAAGCCAGCAGCAUCUGGAUUGCAUGAUACUAACAGCCCUGUCGGAAGGAACUUKUAAACAAGCCCAAAGCAAAACACCUUGUCACCAUCAGCUGUCUCCAUCAAAUGUGCACGUCACAGAAUAUCCCGUGGACAGCUCUUCAGCUACCAGGGAGCAAGUUGCCUCUUGAGAGCCUGUGCUAGAGGGAUAUGUUCAGCAUGUCAUGGGCUGGGUYGCAACGUGCUUUGGAUCACAGUGUGUCCACCUGAACAGGACAUCAGAGUGGCACAGAACGCUGAUACUUCUUUUCUCAUCGUGUUUCAUUGGGAGCUAAAGUUAACCUGGUCGCCUUUGAUACCUGCUUGUGCUUGCUGUACCGCAACGCCGCUGAAACUUUAUAGUGGAUCUUGUGAUUAUGUCACUGAAACUGUGAGAACAACACUCAAAAUUUGGAUAUCGCUGCGGAACGCACAUUUCAACAACCAUAGUUUUUAUAGGUCUUAUAACAACAACAUAUUUUUAUUAAAUUCAAGUUUGAAUAACAAUAGAAUAUGUGUUUAGGAGUUUGAGUAUUUGGAGUAUCAGAGACUUCCUGUAGCGUUAAUAAAAAUAGAUCUAGAUUUAGACCUUCAAACUACUGUUUCUAGGAUUCCCAUUGCUACAGGACAUUGACUGUAUAUCACUGAAAUAUUCUUUUUGAUUUUCCAAGUCUGAAAAUGGAACACAAAGUUCACAAAAGCCAAUAUUUUGAACUCUGAACUCUACGACCCAAGCAAAAGUUCUGAAAUACUGAGCCAAGAAAACAUGUUUGSUUUUCCUUAAGUGUCAAUCAUUUUGUUCAGCAGAAAUUUCCAAAUAUAGAAUUAUUUUGUCUAGUACCCACCACCUUUUGGCCAACGAGAUAAAUUCCUAUCGCUGUAACAACAUUAAUUGCGAAUGGAAUCUUGGCAUAUCGUGUCAAGUCCCUACCUCAUUCCUCUUGUUCUUUUAAGUUACCCUCAUACGUACUCCAGAAUUCGACUAAGGCAUUGACAGAGCAAUUAAAACCCUUUAGAUAGGGUGAAAGAUAUCCCAUAUGGGUCAAUGUCUGAAAACACAUGCUCUCUGGUGCAGUACCCCUGUAUGAUGUUUACUCUCCACAAGCAUAUGUAUGAACUG